rnacentral:rRNA from 1 species
CAGACCUCCGGUUUACCAGUUGUGCCGCCAGGCGCACCGCUGGGUAUCUGAGUCUGGAUUGGAUAAGCGCUGAAAGCAUCUAAGUGCGAAGCCAGCCGCAAGAUGAGAACUCCAUUGAGGGUCGUCAAAGACGAUGACGUUGAUAGGAUGCAGGUGUAAUGACAGCGAUGUCAAAGCCGAGCAUUACUAAUUGCCCGAACACUUUCUUUAG